rnacentral:sRNA from 1 species
AGGAAUUUUUAUUUUCAUCUGCCUCAGUGGAGUGAUUAUAUAGUAUGCUAAGUAAUCUUUCAUUUCUUACAGAAGACGAUCACCUUCUCCUUAUUAUAGUCGAUAUAGAUCACGAUCAAGAUCUCGUUCCUACAGCCCAAGACGCUAUUGAUAACGGAAUGGUUGCAAUUAAGGACAUUUUUUUUCCUCUUUUUUUUUUUUUUUUUUUAAAUUCUGAGAUUUCCCCCAAGCUUUGGAUUCUUCCUACUCCUUAAGAAAAAAACUUUGGUUUAUUUAGCAUCUACACUUUUGUCAAUUGUGUUGCUGUUUUCCACCCAUUUUAUUAUACUCUUAAAGAUGUAAUUGUUGUCAUUUUAAACAGUUAAACAUCUUGAGUAUAAAAAGAACCCCAAUG